GCCCACGUGGUGAAAUUGGUAGACACGUACGUUUGAGGGGCGUAUUCCGUAAGGUGUGCUGGUUCGAGUCCAGUCGUGGGCA
rnacentral:tRNA from 1 species